GGAUUUGCCCAUUGGUCAGGCUUAACUGUCUGCACUGGUGUGACGAGUUCCUACCUUCUGAGGAAUCUCCAUGUCAUUCAGUUGGUGUGGGGGGAAAUCAGGACUGUUACUUUGAAAAAAUUAGAGUGUUCAAAGCAGGCUUAUGUCUGAAUACAUUAGCAUGGAAUAAUAGAAUAGGACGGUGGUCCUGUUUUGUUGGUUUCUAGGAUCACCGUAAUGAUUAAUAGGGAUAGUUG
rnacentral:rRNA from 1 species